CAACCAAACACCCCCUUAGUCCUCACUUCACGAUUCACAGGAACCAGUCGGCACCCUGAUUCACUCCCGUUCCUCUUUUUCUCUCCCACUACGAACCCUAGCCGCCGCGUGCCGCGCGCCGCCCACCGCUGUGGCCCGAUGCCCCGUGACGACUGACGACUGCGGCACCGAGGCGCGCCGCACGCCCUGACCAAUGAAGAGCGGCGCCCACAGCGGCAACCCUGACCGGUGAAGACCGGCGCCCGAGCGGCAGUCCUGACUGGUGAAGACCGGCGCCCCGCGUCGACAACCUCGACCCCCCGUCGGUCGCUCCACUUCCCGCGACGGGGCCGUCCGCCGCCGGUGCUCCACCUCCUGACGGCCGGUUCAACAGAUGUUUCCUAUACCGGAAUCUAAAUAUGAUGAGGAGUUGAAUGAGAAAGAUGCCGAAGCAAAAGGUGCCUAAGGUGCCAAUCUAGAAGCUGCUCAAGAUGACAAGCCAAAAGAACAGAAGCAAAUGACGUCAUGAAUCUUGUUGUUGGACCAUGAAUUACGAAUCUUCUUACUUUGUGUCAUAUGAAUCUUGUUACUUGUUGUCAAGUAUAAACAUGUAUUGGUAUUUUGUUGUUGUCAAAUAUAAACAUGUAUUGGUACUGAAAGUAA